rnacentral:rRNA from 1 species
GGUUAAGCGACUAAGCGUACACGGUGGAUGCCCUGGCAGUCAGAGGCGAUGAAGGACGUGCUAAUCUGCGAUAAGCGCCGGUAAGGUGAUAUGAACCGUUAUAACCGGCGAUUUCCGAAUGGGGAAACCCAGUGUGACUCGUCACACUAUCAUUAACUGAAUCCAUAGGUUAAUGAGGCGAACCGGGGGAACUGAAACAUCUAAGUACCCCGAGGAAAAGAAAUCAACCGAGAUUCCCCAGUAGCGGCGAGCGAACGGGGAGGAGCCCAGAGCCUGAAUCAGCAUGUGUGUUAGUGGAAGCGUCUGGAAAGGCGCGCGAUACAGGGUGACAGCCCCGUACACAAAAGCGCAUGUGCUGUGAGCUCGAUGAGUAGGGCGGGACACGUGGUAUCCUGUCUGAAUAUGGAAGAUCAUCCUCCAAGGCUAAAUACUCCUGACUGACCGAUAGUGAACCAGUACCGUGAGGGAAAGGCGAAAAGAACCCCGGCGAGGGGAGUGAAAAAGAACCUGAAACCGUGUACGUACAAGCAGUGGGAGCACAGGUUUACCUGUGUGACUGCGUACCUUUUGUAUAAUGGGUCAGCGACUUAUAUUCUGUAGCAAGGUUAACCGAAUAGGGAGCCGGAGGGAAACCGAGUCUUAACCGGGCGUUAAGUUGCAGGGUAUAGACCCGAAACCCGGUGAUCUCAGCCAUGGGCAGGUUGAAGGUUGGGUAACACUAACUGGAGGAUCGAACCGACUAAUGUUGAAAAAUUAGCGGAUGACCUGUGGCUGGGGGUGAAAGGCCAAUCAAACCGGGAGAUAGCUGGUUCUCCCCGAAAGCUAUUUAGGUAGCGCCUCGUGAAUUCAUCUCCGGGGUAGAGCACUGUUUCGGCUAGGGGGCCAUCCCGGCUUACCAACCCGAUGCAAACUGCGAAUACCGGAGAAUGUUAUCACGGGAGACACACGGCGGGUGCUAACGUCCGUCGUGAAGAGGGAAACAACCCAGACCGCCAGCUAAGGUCCCAAAGUCAUGGUUAAGUGGGAAACGAUGUGGGAAGGCCCAGACAGCCAGGAUGUUGGCUUAGAAGCAGCCAUCAUUUAAAGAAAGCGUAAUAGCUCACUGGUCGAGUCGGCCUGCGCGGAAGAUGUAACGGGGCUAAACCAUGCACCGAAGCUGCGGCAGCGAACGUAUCACUUAAAGCGAUUCAGCGGGUUACGAUUGACGGAGCGAAGCGACGUCAAAGCGUAUACAAAGUCGAGUCGGUUUAAGGAUACGUUCGUUGGGUAGGGGAGCGUUCUGUAAGCCUGUGAAGGUGUGUCGUGAGGCAUGCUGGAGGUAUCAGAAGUGCGAAUGCUGACAUAAGUAACGAUAAAGCGGGUGAAAAGCCCGCUCGCCGGAAGACCAAGGGUUCCUGUCCAACGUUAAUCGGGGCAGGGUGAGUCGACCCCUAAGGCGAGGCCGAAAGGCGUAGUCGAUGGGAAACGGGUUAAUAUUCCCGUACUUGGUGUUACUGCGAAGGGGGACGGAGAAGGCUAUGUUGGCCGGGCGACGGUUGUCCCGGUUUAAGCGUGUAGGUGUGUGUUCCGGGUAAAUCCGGUUCACUUUAACACUGAGGCGUGACGACGAGGCACUACGGUGCUGAAGCAACAAAUGCCCUGCUUCCAGGAAAAGCCUCUAAGCAUCAGGUAACAUCAAAUCGUACCCCAAACCGACACAGGUGGUCAGGUAGAGAAUACCAAGGCGCUUGAGAGAACUCGGGUGAAGGAACUAGGCAAAAUGGUGCCGUAACUUCGGGAGAAGGCACGCUGACACGUAGGUGAAGUGAUUUACUCACGGAGCUGAAGUCAGUCGAAGAUACCAGCUGGCUGCAACUGUUUAUUAAAAACACAGCACUGUGCAAACACGAAAGUGGACGUAUACGGUGUGACGCCUGCCCGGUGCCGGAAGGUUAAUUGAUGGGGUCAGCGCAAGCGAAGCUCCUGAUCGAAGCCCCGGUAAACGGCGGCCGUAACUAUAACGAUCCUAAGGUAGCGAAAUUCCUUGUCGGGUAAGUUCCGACCUGCACGAAUGGCGUAAUGAUGGCCGGGCUGUCUCCACCCGAGACUCAGUGAAAUUGAACUCGCUGUGAAGAUGCAGUGUACCCGCGGCAAGACGGAAAGACCCCGUGAACCUUUACUAUAGCUUGACACUGAACAUUGAGCCUUGAUGUGUAGGAUAGGUGGGAGGCUUUGAAGUGUGGACGCCAGUCUGCAUGGAGCCGACCUUGAAAUACCACCCUUUAAUGUUUGAUGUUCUAACGUGGACCCGUGAUCCGGGUUGCGGACAGUGUCUGGUGGGUAGUUUGACUGGGGCGGUCUCCUCCUAAAGAGUAACGGAGGAGCACGAAGGUUGGCUAAUCCUGGUCGGACAUCAGGAGGUUAGUGCAAUGGCAUAAGCCAGCUUGACUGCGAGCGUGACGGCGCGAGCAGGUGCGAAAGCAGGUCAUAGUGAUCCGGUGGUUCUGAAUGGAAGGGCCAUCGCUCAACGGAUAAAAGGUACUCCGGGGAUAACAGGCUGAUACCGCCCAAGAGUUCAUAUCGACGGCGGUGUUUGGCACCUCGAUGUCGGCUCAUCACAUCCUGGGGCUGAAGUAGGUCCCAAGGGUAUGGCUGUUCGCCAUUUAAAGUGGUACGCGAGCUGGGUUUAGAACGUCGUGAGACAGUUCGGUCCUAUCUGCCGUGGGCGCUGGAGAACUGAGGGGGCUGCUCCUAGUACGAGAGGACCAGGAGUGGACGCAUCACUGGUGUUCGGGUUGUCAUGCCAAUGGCACUGCCCGGUAGCUAAAUGCGGAAGAGAUAAGUGCUGAAAGCAUCUAAGCACGAAACUUGCCCCGAGAUGAGUUCUCCCUGAGACUUAGAGUCUCCUGAAGGAACGUUGAAGACGACGACGUUGAUAGGCCGGGUGUGUAAGCGCAGCGAUGCGUUGAGCUAACCGGUACUAAUGAACCGUGAGGCUUAACCUU